rnacentral:misc_RNA from 1 species
GAUGAAGAACGCAGCGAAAUGCGAUAAGUAAUGUGAAUUGCAGAAUUCAGUGAAUCAUCGAAUCUUUGAACGCACAUUGCGCCCCUUGGUAUUCCGAGGGGCAUGCCUGUUCGAGCGUCAUUACACCACUCAAGCUAUGCUUGGUAUUGGGCGUCGUCCUUAGUUGGGCGCGCCUUAAAGACCUCGGCGAGGCCACUCCGGCUUUAGGCGUAGUAGAAUUUAUUCGAACGUCUGUCAAAGGAGAGGAACUCUGCCGACUGAAACCUUUAUUUUUCUAGGUUGACCUCGGAUCGGGUAGGGAUACCCGCUGAACUUAAGCAUAUCAAUAAGCGGAGGA